rnacentral:rRNA from 1 species
UACGGAGGGUGCAAGCGUUAUCCGGAUUCACUGGGUUUAAAGGGUGCGUAGGCGGCGGGGCAAGUCUGAUGUGAAAUCCCGGGGCUCAACCCCGGAACUGCAUUGGAUACUGCCUUGCUCGAGUACUGGAGAGGGAACUGGAAUUUACGGUGUAGCAGUGAAAUGCGUAGAUAUCGUAAGGAAGGCCAGUGGCGAAGGCGAGUUCCUGGACAGUUACUGACGCUGAGGCACGAAGGCCAGGGGAGCAAACGGG